UUGAGGUAAAAACACCAUUGUUUUUCACCAUUCACCAUUUGGAUGAUUUGCAUUUGGUAGAAAUUUUGUUUCCAUCAAGGUAAGGUGCAAAAGUCUUCAUUACCUCCUCAUAAGUUGGUCUCUUGUAGUCCACAGCCUGUUCAACAACUUCUUCGGGGUUUGCCCAUUUCCACUCUGCAAAUUCAACGUCUGCUUCAUCAUUGUCCAAGUUAAUCUCACUAUCGUCUUUUGUCAAUCUCAUAAGAAACCAUUUUUGUGCCUGCCCGUGCCAUUGCCCGCCCCAGAGACGAUUGACUUUGGUCUUCACAGAAGGAGGAAAGUCGUAAGUCAACCAUUUG
rnacentral:misc_RNA from 1 species